AUGCGCGCGGCUGCUCCGAGGUGGCCCCGGGACGUGGCGACCCUGUCGUACGCGGCGCCGGCCCAUGCCCUGGCCGCGCCCGCCCUGGGUCGGAGCUCCUUCUCCCUCGCGUCCUCGCUGCGGAUGCACCAGAGGGCCAGGACCUCCACGGUGCCCAACGAGGAAAGGAUGAAGCCCAAGAGCCUACACGCCUCACCGAGGUUGCUUGCGCAGGCGUCCAUGGAAGCGACACCCCCCUCCUCGCCGCCGCGGCACAGAGGCGAGGCGAGGAGGCGGGCCGCGUCGGCGAGGCGGGCGCGGGCGGCGAUGGCGAUGUCGCAAGACUCGUUGACCCGCUCCCAGACAAGGGCUUCCAUGGCAUCCCAGAAGCCAUGGCUGACUCCCAAACCUCUUCUCUCUCUGUCGCGGUAG
rnacentral:rRNA from 1 species